rnacentral:rRNA from 1 species
ACAGUGGACGCGAGCAUCUUUGUGGUCAAGUUGUCAAGGGCGAACGGUGGAUGCCUUGGCACCAGGAGCCGAUGAAGGACGUGGGAGGCCGCGAUAGGCCUGGGGGAGCUGUCAACCAAGCUGUGAUCCCAGGGUGUCCGAAUGGGGAAACCUGGCUGGAGUCAUGUCCAGUCACCCACACCUGAACACAUAGGGUGUGUGGGGGGAACGCGGGGAAGUGAAACAUCUCAGUACCCGUAGGAAGAGAAAACAAAAUGUGAUUCCGUGAGUAGUGGCGAGCGAAAGCGGAUUGAGGCUAAACCGGUUGCGUGUGAUACCUGUCAGGGGUUGCGUGGUCGGGGUUGUGGGACCCUGCGACACAAGCUGACACUUGUGUAAGGAGUUACAAAGCCAGUUGCUAGUCGAACAGUCUGGGAAGGCUGACCGUAGACGGUGAGAGUCCGGUAGGCGAAAGUGGCUGGUCUUCUGUGGGUGUUCCCGAGUAGCGGCGGACUCCUGAAAUCUGCCGUGAAUCUGCCAGGACCACCUGGUAAGCCUAAAUACUUCCUGGUGACCGAUAGCGGACUAGUACCGUGAGGGAAUGGUGAAAAGUACCCCGGGAGGGGAGUGAAAUAGUACCUGAAACCGUUCGCCUACAAUCCGUCGGAGCCUUUAGGGGUGACGGCGUGCCUUUUGAAGAAUGAGCCUGCGAGUUAGUGGCAUGUGGCGAGGUUAACCCGUGUGGGGGAGCCGUAGCGAAAGCGAGUCUGAACAGGGCGUUCAGUCGCGUGUCCUAGACCCGAAGCGGAGUGAUCUAGCCAUGGGCAGGCUGAAGCGCGGGUAAGACCGCGUGGAGGGCCGAACCCACCAACGUUGAAAAGUUGGGGGAUGACCUGUGGUUAGGGGUGAAAGGCCAAUCAAACUCCGUGAUAGCUGGUUCUCCCCGAAAUGCAUUUAGGUGCAGCGUCGCGUGUUUCUUGCCGGAGGUAGAGCACUGGAUGGUCUAGGGGGCCCACAAGCUUACCGAAAUCAGCCAAACUCCGAAUGCCGGUAAGUGAGAGCGCGGCAGUGAGACUGCGGGGGAUAAGCUUCGUAGUCGAGAGGGAAACAGCCCAGAUCACCAGCUAAGGCCCCUAAGCGUGUGCUAAGUGGAAAAGGAUGUGGGGUCGCAUAGACAACCAGGAGGUUGGCUUAGAAGCAGCCACCCUUUAAAGAGUGCGUAAUAGCUCACUGGUCAAGUGGUUCCGCGCCGACAAUGUAGCGGGGCUCAAGUACACCGCCGAAGCUGUGGCAUUCACAUUUUACUUCGCCGGGAUCCUUGAGGUUCUGGUGCAGGUGUGUGGAUGGGUAGGGGAGCGUCGUGCCGGGGGUGAAGCAGCGGAGUGAUCCAGUUGUGGACGCGGCACGAGUGAGAAUGCAGGCAUGAGUAGCGAAAGAAGGGUGAGAAACCCUUCCGCCGGAUGACCAAGGGUUCCAGGGCCAGGCUAAUCCGCCCUGGGUGAGUCGGGACCUAAGGCGAGGCCGAGAGGCGUAGUCGAUGGACAACGGGUUGAUAUUCCCGUACCCGCGAAGGAGCGACCCUGAUGAACCUCGUUGUGCUAACCACCCGAGCUGCCGGCGACCUUCGGGUCAAUGGUGGGGAGCGUGGGAACCUGGCGGGUAGUAGUCAAGCGAUGGGGUGACGCAGGAAGGUAGCUGAGCCCGGCCGGUGGUUGUGCCGGGGUAAGCGUGUAGGCCGUGCUGUAGGCAAAUCCGCAGCACAUAUAGGCUGAGACGUGAUGCCGAGCCGAUUCAGGUGAAGUCAGUGAUCCUAUGCUGCCGAGAAAAGCCUCUAGCGAGUUCCGAGCGGCCCGUACCCCAAACCGACACAGGUGGUCAGGUAGAGAAUACCGAGGCGAUCGGGCGAACUGUGGUUAAGGAACUCGGCAAAUUGCCCCCGUAACUUAGGGAGAAGGGGGGCCGGAGACGUGAAGCCCCGCGCGGGUGGAGCGUUGUAUGGCCGCAGAGAGCAGGGGGAAGCGACUGUUUACUAAAAACACAGGUCCAUGCGAAGAAGUAAUUCGAUGUAUAUGGACUGACGCCUGCCCGGUGCUGGAACGUUAAGGGGACCUGUUAGCUCUUUCGGGGGCGAAGCGGAGAACUUAAGCGCCAGUAAACGGCGGUGGUAACUAUAACCAUCCUAAGGUAGCGAAAUUCCUUGUCGGGUAAGUUCCGACCUGCACGAAUGGCGUAACGACUUCCCCACUGUCUCAACCACAGGCCCGGCGAAAUUGCAUUACGAGUAAAGAUGCUCGUUACGCGCGGCAGGACGGAAAGACCCCGGGACCUUUACUAUAGCUUGACAUUGGUAUCUGAAUUAGCUUGUGUAGGAUAGGUGGGAGCCGGUGAAGUCCAUACGCCAGUAUGGGUGGAGGCAAUCUUGAAAUACCACUCUGGUUGAUUUGGGUAUCUAACUUCGGACCGUUAUCCGGUUCAGGGACAGUGUCUGGUGGGUAGUUUAACUGGGGCGGUUGCCUCCUAAAAGGUAACGGAGGCGCCCAAAGGUUCCCUCAGCCUGGUUGGCAAUCAGGUGUUGAGUGCAAGUACACAAGGGAGCUUGACUGUGAGACUGACAGGUCGAGCAGGGACGAAAGUCGGGACUAGUGAUCCGGCACUUGCGUGUGGAAGCGGUGUCG